rnacentral:rRNA from 1 species
GAUGAACGCUGGCUACAGGCUUAACACAUGCAAGUCGAGGGGAAACGACGGGGAAGCUUGCUUCCCUGGGCGUCGACCGGCGCACGGGUGAGUAACGCGUAUCCAACCUGCCUCUGACUGAGGGAUAACCCGUCGAAAGUCGGCCUAAUACCUCAUGGCAUCGUCUGCGGGCAUCCAACGACGAUUAAAGAUUUCAUCGGUCAGGGAUGGGGAUGCGUCUGAUUAGCUUGUUGGCGGGGUAACGGCCCACCAAGGCGACGAUCAGUAGGGGUUCUGAGAGGAAGGUCCCCCACAUUGGAACUGAGACACGGUCCAAACUCCUACGGGAGGCAGCAGUGAGGAAUAUUGGUCAAUGGGCGAGAGCCUGAACCAGCCAAGUAGCGUGCAGGAUGACGGCCCUAUGGGUUGUAAACUGCUUUUAUGCGGGGAUAAAGUGAGGGACGUGUCCUUCAUUGCAGGUACCGCAUGAAUAAGGACCGGCUAAUUCCGUGCCAGCAGCCGCGGUAAUACGGAAGGUCCGGGCGUUAUCCGGAUUUAUUGGGUUUAAAGGGAGCGUAGGCCGUGGAUUAAGCGUGUUGUGAAAUGCAGGUGCUCAACGUCUGCACUGCAGCGCGAACUGGUUCACUUGAGUGUGCGCAACGCAGGCGGAAUUCGUCGUGUAGCGGUGAAAUGCUUAGAUAUGACGAAGAACUCCGAUUGCGAAGGCAGCUUGCGGGAGCACAACUGACGCUGAAGCUCGAAAGUGCGGGUAUCGAACAGG